UGUUGUUAUAUGCUUCACUUCAGGUAUAUGUGUUUCCACUUUCAGGUUCUUGUUCAAUACUACAUGCACAAAGUAAUUUGAAGGAGAAGUGAUGGUCAGUAAGAUAUUCCUUAGAGAAGCUGUCUUCAUUUGGAAAACGAUUUAAAUUACAGAAGACAGUAUGGAACAAAACAAAUCUCCUAUUUAGCAAUAAUUUAUUCUUUUGAUAAGUUUUGUCUGCUAAUGCAUAUUUCUACUAAAUCUAGAUAGAGAAACUGUACUUCCAUUGAAGGAAUAUAGUAAAGGUUCUGCUACUAGGAAGUAGGAACUAGGAUGAAGGAAGACUGCCCUGCUUAUUUCUUUUUGCAUUAUAGAACUCCCAUUUCUUCCUUUACAAUUUAUUGAGCCUUAUCAGGGAUGGUGUAAAAGAGAACUUUUUUUGAAUUGAGAUCUCAUAAGUUCCAGUAGUGUAAAGGGUUUCCCCAAAUCCUGUUGCCCUUAUUGGUUUUCUCAACCAUCUGUAAGCAACAGGCACUAAAAAAAGUCAUAGAAAGUAAUUAACUUUACUAAAAGAAAAAAAAAAAACUGAAAAAUGUGUCAUGAUAGGAUGGGAACUACUAGUAUCUCAACCGUAAAUAUGUUGGAGGCACAGCUUUAAAUUUUUUCUUUUGAGCUAAACUUGGCCACUCUUGUUUGGGAGUCUAAAAACUUAGUAGGAUUUAAUUAGUCGUUGAAAACUACCAAUAGAGCUUAUACAAAAUGCUUUUCUUUCAACAUUUCCUUCUCCUCAAAUCACCUUGAUACUUAAAGAGUCACUUCAAAAGCAUGCUACAAAGUUACGAAACAGAAACAAUUUAAAUACUUUGAAUGAAACAAGUAAUUAUUUUUUAGCCAUUUUUCUUUCAGAUUCCUCACGUUUAAAACCUUAAUUGGUAAAAAAAAAUUCCACCAGUCUUAUUAUUAUUUUGGCUUUAUUGCUUUAUGGCUGUAGGAACCACUGGAAGGCCAAAGGG
rnacentral:misc_RNA from 1 species